GGUUCCCGCCUGCGCCUCUCCCUCCACACCGCCUUGCAAGCUGAGGGAGCCGGCUCCGGCCUCUGCCAGCCCAGGAAGGGGCUCCCACAGUGCAGCGGCGGGCUGAAGGACUCCUCAAGUGCCACCAAAGUGGGAGCCCAGGCAGAGGAGGCGCCGAGAGCGAGCGAGGGCUGCCUGCCAGCACGCUGUCACGUCUCAGCAAUAGACUGCUCUUGAGGGAUGGCUAUUUUUGUUACUUCUGAAUUCUACUACAAAAGAGUGCUGCAAUAAAAAUCUUUGAACAAGUUCUAAUGCCGUUCAACUGGAAUUGAAGUUUUCAAUCGUUGGAUAUGUCAAAAUUUAAUCAGAUUGUAUAUUGCUCAAUUACUUUCAAAUUAUGUACACCAAGUCAUUCUUGCUCUGGCAAAAUAAGAAUAUUUUCAUUAAUAUAUCAUUCAACUUGAAAUUGCCCAGCUUUUCCUUCUCAUUUCCCCCCAGUCAAAUGAGUUGAAUUAAUACUGUCUAAAAAUAUAUAUUCAUUUGCUUACCUGUUAGUAUUUGUUCCAUGUAUUAAGAAGCUUUGCUAGUAUAUGAAAAUAUAUGUAUUACCAUGUCUUGUGAAUUAGUACUUUUAUCAUUUUGAAAUGUUUGUUUUCAUUUCUGCUGACCGUUCUAACCUGGGUAUCUAUUUUGACUGGUUUUUAAUGUAACUACUAACAUCUUUUUAUGUUCAGCACUUUUUCACAAUUUUACUUUCAAUGUCUUUAUUUUUAAAAUGUAUCUUCUGUAGACAGUGUACAGGUGGUCUUGUUUUAUUGUAAAUCAAGUGACAAUCUCUAUUUCAUAAUUGACAUAUUUAAUCCAUAUAUAUUUAAUUUAAUUGUUGUUAUUUUGAGACUUAAUAUCCAGUUUUACUAUUUUGGCCCAUUUAUUUUUGGUUUAUUUUAGAUGUCUUGCCUUAUCUUAGAUUGAUUGAUAUUUUUAGUAUUUAAUUACAUUUCUUUUAUAAAUGUAAUUUCUUGAAUAUUUGUUUUUAUUUUAGCAAUUGCUCUGGGAAUAUAAAAAUCAUCUUUAAAAUCUAUUUAGAGUUAAUGGUACUACUUUAUGCAGUAGGUAAAAACAUUUCACUAGCACAAUUUCAUUUGCAGGCACCUAACCUUCUGUGAUAGUAUUGUCUUAUAUUGUUAUAUUUAUGAGAUACAAUCACUACAGUAAAAUACUAUUUUCUAUUCAUUGUGCCAUCUUAUAAAUAAACAGAUGAAUAAACAGAUAUUUUUGAACAA
ensembl:lncRNA LINC01194 long intergenic non-protein coding RNA 1194